rnacentral:rRNA from 1 species
GGUGGCUGCGACUGUUUAUUAAAAACACAGCACUCUGCAAAGACGAAAGUCGACGUAUAGGGUGUGAUGCCUGCCCGGUGCUGGAAGAUUAAUUGAUGGGGUGCAAGCUCCUGAUCGAAGUCCCAGUAAACGGCGGCCGUAACUAUAACGGUCCUAAGGUAGCGAAAUUCCUUGUCGGGCAAGUUCCGACCUGCACGAAUGGCAUAACGAUGGCCACACUGUCUCCUCCUGAGACUCAGUGAAGUUGAAGUGUUUGUGAUGAUGCAAUCUCCCCGCGGCUAGACGGAAAGACCCCAUGAACCUUUACUGUAGCUUUGCAUUGGACUUUGAACCGAUCUGUGUAGGAUAGGCGGGAGCCUGUGAAACCACAACGCCAGUUGUGGCGGAGGCGUCCUUGAAAUACCGCCCUGAUUUGUUUGAGGUUCUAACCUGGGACAGUCAUCCUGUCCGGGGACCGUGCAUGGUAGGCAGUUUGACUGGGGCGGUCUCCUCCUAAAGGGUAACGGAGGAGUGCGAAGGUACGCUAGGUACGGUCGGAAAUCGUGCUGAUAGUGCAAUGGCAAAAGCGUGCUUGACUGCGAGACCCACAAGUCGAGCAGAUACGAAAGUAGGUCAUAGUGAUCCGGUGGCUCUGUAUGGAAGGGCCAUCGCUCAACGGAUAAAAGGUACUCUGGGGAUAACAGGCUGAUACCGCCCAAGAGUUCAUAUCGACGGCGGUGUUUGGCACCUCGAUGUCGGCUCAUCUCAUCCUGGGGCUGUAGCCGGUCCCAAGGGUAUGGCUGUUCGCCAUUUAAAGAGGUACGUGAGCUGGGUUUAAAACGUCGUGAGACAGUUUUGUCCCUAUCUGCCGUGGGCGCUGGAAGAUUGACGGGGGCUGCUCCUAGUACGAGAGGACCGGAGUGGACUCACCUCUGGUGUACCGGUUGUCACGCCAGUGGCAUCGCCGGGUAGCUAUGUGGGGAAGAGAUAACCGCUGAAAGCAUCUAAGCGGGAAACUUGCCUGAAGAUAAGUCUUCCUGGAGGCUAGACCUCCCUAAAGAGUCGUUCGAGACCAGGACGUUGAUAGGAUGGGUGUGUAAGUGCUGUGAGGCACUCAGCUAACCAUUACUAAUUGCUCGUGAAGCUUGAUCCU